UACGAAGGGAGCUAGCGUUGUUCGGAAUCACUGGGCGUAAAGCGCACGUAGGCGGCUUUCUAAGUCGGGGGUGAAAUCCUGGAGCUCAACUCCAGAACUGCCUUCGAUACUGGAAAGCUCGAGUCCGGGAGAGGUGAGUGGAACUGCGAGUGUAGAGGUGAAAUGCGUAGAUAUCAGGAGGAACACCCGUGGCGAAGGCGGCUUCCUGGGGCCAUCCUGACACUGAGAAGCGAAAGCUAGGGGAGCGAACGGG
rnacentral:rRNA from 1 species